AUUGCCUCAGUAACGGCGAGUGAAGCGGCAACAGCUCAAAUUUGAAACCUGCCAACCGGCCGGAUUGUAAUUUGCAGAGGAUGCUUUGGGAAAGGUACUGAUCUAAGUUUCUUGGAACAGAACGUCACAGAGGGUGAGAAUCCCGUCCGUGGUCGGCCGCCUGCCCCGUGUAAAGCUCCUUCGACGAGUCGAGUUGUUUGGGAAUGCAGCUCUAAAUGGGUGGUAAAUUUCAUCUAAAGCUAAAUAUUGGCCAGAGACCGAUAGCGCACAAGUAGAGUGAUCGAAAGAUGAAAAGCACUUUGGAAAGAGAGUUAAACAGCACGUGAAAUUGUUGAAAGGGAAGCGCUUGCAAUCAGACUUGGGCGCGGGUACUCAGGGACGGUUCGCCGUUCUGUAUUUGCCCGCGCACAGGCCAGCAUCAGUUUUGGGGGUGGGAUAAAGGCCGUAGGAAUGUGGCUCUUCGGAGUGUUAUAGCCUACGGUGCCAUGCCACCUCCCGGGACUGAGGACCGCGCUUCGGCUAGGAUGCUGGCGUAAUGAUUGUAAGCGACCCGUCUUGAAACACGGACCAAGGAGUCUAACAUCUAUGCGAGUGUUUGGGUGUCAAACCCACACGCGGAAUGAAAGUGAACGGAGGUGAGAGCCCUUGAGGGUGCAUCAUCGACCGAUCCUGAUGUCUUCGGAUGGAUUUGAGUAUGAGCAUAGCUGUUGGGACCCGAAAGAUGGUGAACUAUGCCUGAAUAGGGUGAAGCCAGAGGAAACUCUGGUGGAGGCUCGCAGCGGUUCUGACGUGCAAAUCGAUCGUCAAAUUUGGGUAUAGGGGCGAAAGACUAAUCGA
rnacentral:rRNA from 1 species